UUUGAAUUUACGCCAAACAAAGUUGAUUUAAGACUCUGUUUGGUGGUAUUUUUUUAGGGAAAUCAGACAGCGGCCAGACAACCGUAGAGAUGGAUUCCACAGAUGACUGAAUUUUCAAUUUUGGUUGUCUACUGAUUCCAUUCUCACAUUU